rnacentral:lncRNA from 1 species
GCAAGAUGGCGGUGACGCAACCGGCUGGGGCGGUGGUAUAGGUAUCUGGUGGGUGGGCGAGAGCUAGGGCGGGGGUGGGAGGGGGUUUGAUGGUGACGAUGGCGGUGGCAAGAUGCAGAGAAAUGGAGCUAGGAGGAAGAGUAAAUAAAUGAUAUUACUGAUAUCUUGAGGAGGUCUUGUAUAUAUUUUGAGGAGCCAGGGUUAACUACCUAUCUGUCCAAAAACCAUAAUGCCUAAUAUGUAGUAAUCCGGUAUUUCAACUUGUGUAGAUAGUUGUAUAUAAUUUAAAAGAGUAUAAUGUGUAGUUUUAGCCCAUAUAUAGAAUUAUUAAACUAGAACUUACCUCAAAAGCCCCUAGUAAAAGUAUCAGGAGCAGCCAUCAUAUGUAAAUGCAUACUUGUCAAGUCCUAAUGAUAGGAAAAACAUUAAAGCUCACAUUUUCCCUAAAUAAAACAACGCAUAUAUGUUCUCUAGAGAGGAACUCUAGAUGAAUAUUGUCUAAUCUUGGCAAGAGAUGAAGGCAAGGGGACUUUUUUUUCAUUGUACACACAACAAUCAUUGACGAAAAAAAUUGGGAGCUGCUGGGCAACCUUAGGUUCUUGUGUUCCUUUAUCUUCAUAUUACAUAGCAAUGUAUAUUCAUAAUUCAUCUAGCCAUCCCUACCACAUUCAUCCCUAUUCAUCUGUGUACAUCCAUCCACCCAUUCACUCAACAAUCCAUAGUAUAGAGAAUUCAUCUUGAGAAUGAUGUGGCAUCGGUCGGAGGAGAAGGUGGUGCCCAGCUGAGAAGGGGCAGCCGGUCGGGGAGGCGUGAUUGAUCUUCCAGGGGAAUAAAAUAAUUUUUUGAUGAAGAUUGAAGAUUUUAGUACUUACCUCAGCAGUUUAUCUUUCUUUCGCUUUCAUGCUCGUUUAAACAUGGGGGAGGAGUCAUCGCAUUAUCUUUGACUACUGCUAAGUAAAGUACUAUGUUGUAAGAAGUUCUGAGAAAAAAGAAAUAAGAAAAGAAAAGAAAAGAGAAUAAAAUGCUCCUCGGUUCUUUAAGCCUCAUUAAAGUUCUCAGUGCUCUUAAUCUCUCAAGAUUAAGGAUUGAUCCAUAUUCAUUUUUC